AUCUUCGGGGUAGGGUGAAAUUCCCAACCGGCGGUGACGCUUUUAAGCGAAGCCCGCGACUCAAUUUUCUUACUAUAGAAGAUUGACUGACUUGGUGUAAUUCCAAGGCCGACGGUACAGUCCGGAUGAGAGAAGAU
rnacentral:ncRNA from 1 species